rnacentral:lncRNA from 1 species
GUUCUUCCCCAAUUGGGUAUGGGUGACUGUCGAUAGCUGAUUUAUGAUUGGGAAAAGGAAUGAUCCAAAAAGAAGAAAAAUCGUUUCAAAUUUCGGGGGAAAUGGGGGGACCUGUUACUGUUCAUCGAACUUACCUUCCUAUUUUCAAAAACUCGGAUCGGGAUUCGGGGUCCAGAUCUUGAUUCGGUGUUGGGAAAUCUUCCUCCAAGGUGGAAAAAUUGGGAAAUUGGGUCUUCCACGAACAAGAUUCGGGGUCGCACAUGGGGGCCGCCCUUGGCCUCGCCGCGCCGGUGGAGACGGCGCCGGAGCCCAGUGCAGCUCGCAGAUCUCAAUCUCUCAGUUCAAUCACCGCCUCUGAGGGAGUCGCACACCCAAGUCCAAAAUCGAACCAGGGACGAAGCAUUGAAGCUAAGACCUCAAAUCUCUCGCUGCCUUCUUUCGCGUUGCUGGACCGAUCAUUCUCCCCAGAUAAUCGGGAAUCUUCCACCGAUUUCUGUCGGAACCGCAUCGAAGGGUUUUCGCUAAUUUCACAGGGAGAUUCUCACUUUCAUUUAGGGAUUUCUUUAAUUAGUUUCGUACCAGCUUAGUUCCUUGAUUUCUAAUCAUGUUACUUACAAUUUCCGGUGACCUUAUUUGAUCUUUUAUGCGAGGACAUAUGAAAACACAAAAAAUCGUUCAGGGAUUGAGUGGUGAAGGGAACUGUAUGAUCAUACCGCUCCGAAACAGAAAGGAAAAUGGCAUGUUCUUCGACAAAGAGUGGGGUCCGAUUUCUGGUUUCCGAUUUCUAGCCUGACAUCGUUGCUCGGCUGUUUCCAACGCCACGCUGUCUCAUCUCUCUCGACGGAGCCGAAGCUGCUGCUAUUCUGGUUCGGCGGAGCAGGGCAGCUUCAGAACACCUCAACAUAUGGGAAGGUCACCAUUCGGAAUCU